UACAGAGGGCGCGAGCGUUGUCCGGAAUCACUGGGCGUAAAGGGUGCGUAGGUGGCACGAUAAGGCCGUGGUGAAAGUCUGAGGCUCAACCUCAGAUCUGCCGCGGCGACUGUCGAGCUUGGGCACCGUAGAGGCAGAUGGAAUUCCGGGUGUAGCGGUGGAAUGCGUAGAUAUCGCUUGGAACGCCAAUGGUGAAAACAGGUAGCUGGGGGUGUGCUGACACUGAGACACGAAAGCCAGGGGAGCGAACGGG
rnacentral:rRNA from 1 species